ACUCAAAGGAAUUGACGGGGGCCCGCACAAGCGGUGGAGCAUGUGGUUUAAUACGUCACUAACCGUAGAACCUUACCAGGGCUUGACAUCCGAUGCACCGGCCUGAAAGGGUCGUCUCCCGCAAGGGAGCGUCGAGACAGGUGUUGCAUGGCUGUCGUCAGCUCGUGUCGUGAGAUGUUGGGUUAAGUCCCGCAACGAGCGCAACCCUCAUCCCAUGUUGCCAGCGGGUGAUGCCGGGGACUCUUGGGAAACUGCCGGGGUAACUCGGAGGAAGGUGAGGAUGACGUCAAGUCAGCAUGGCCCUUACGCCCUGGGCUACACACAUGCUACAAUGGACGGCAGACAAAACGACCCGACGCCGUGAGGUAGAGGCAAUCGAAAAAACCGUUCUCAGUUCGGAUUGCAGGCUGCAACUCGCCUGCAUGAAGUCGGAAUCGCUAGUAACCGCAGGUCAGCGAAACUGCGGUGAAUACGUUCCCGGGCCUUGUACACACCGCCCGU
rnacentral:rRNA from 1 species